rnacentral:rRNA from 1 species
UGGCGGACGGGUGAGUAACGCGUGAGUAACCUGCCUUUCAGAGGGGGAUAACGUUUGGAAACGAACGCUAAUACCGCAUAAGCUGGUAGGGCCGCAUGGUCCAGCCAGAAAAGGAGCAAUCCGCUGAAAGAUGGACUCGCGUCCGAUUAGCUAGUUGGUGGGGUAAAGGCCUACCAAGGCGACGAUCGGUAGCCGGACUGAGAGGUCGAACGGCCACAUUGGGACUGAGACACGGCCCAGACUCCUACGGGAGGCAGCAUG